CUGAUAGUAGUACAGGAUGGCAUCGAAGCUCGGUCGGUUCCUGUCAAAGAAAUACUCGUUUCUGAGCGGGUCAAAGUAGCGCAUCCUCUUUUUCGGGUCCCCGAGCAACGUGUCCGGGAACUGGUUGAAAGUUUUCAGCUGGGUCUCGAAGCGCAGUCCCGAGAUGUUGAUGACCACUCGCUCGCAGCACUCGUGGUCGGGCUCGUAUCGAUCCAGCGACAGGUGACUGGGCAGCGCCGCGCUUUCCUCCAGCAUGUUAUCGCACGCGACCACCGUCAUGAUGUCCUUCUCCGUCUCCGCGUACCCGUGGUUGUCGGCGUUGUUCCCUCUGUGGCUGGCUGAGGGCAGAGCUACCAAUCAGAACAUCUGCUGCCAUGGUAAUGAGGAAAACAAACACACAUCAAUGACUUGGACGCCUAUUUCCAUGCUGACACCUCCUCAACCCUGCCAACCAUUUUAACCAUGGGGAAAUAUAACAUACACACAGCAGCGAGAGCUCUCUACAUGCUUCUGUGGCCAGAGGACAUCGACUGUUUCUUUCCAUCAGUUGCAGAUGUCUGAAGAAAUCUUGCUGUGGAGUUCACAUCAGUCAACAUAUACCGAACAAGUGGGGCAGAGGAUGAGAUUCAUUUGAACGUCUGGCAUUAGG